CCUGCAGCAGCUGAACCCCUGGGGACUUCUCAGCUCUUGGGGUGCAGCAGCACCAGCACUGCCAUGCCCGGAGCAAGGCGGCAGUGAUGAUCCCUGAGUGGCAUCACACUGAGCACAGCACCCCUCGGCUGUCAUGCAUGGAGUAGGUGGCCUGUUCCAUUUGCCACGUGGAGCUGUCCAGUCUGUUCAGCACACAACCUGUGCCUCCAUACAGAGGAUCCUAACUCAUUAACAAGGGGCAAGCCAGACUAACAUGUCUGCAGAAGCAGCUGCCACAUAAAGCACGGGACUGAGAGUCAGUCCAAAUUUCAGUUAGUACUAUAUGUGAUGCACUCCUACAAGGGACAGAAGAUGGAGUGCUGCAAGGACUCAGAGUCCAGAAACGUAUCAGGAACAGCACUGCACCACACAACUAAGCUGCUCCAUUGCCCAUUCAAAAAGGUUGCUGCCUUCUGGAGUAAUGAUUUACCAAAAUAGUAUCAGUUUCUUGAUUUGUUUUCAUAAUUUUUGUCUUUUGUCUUGUUUUAAUUUACAGUAACCAGUGACAACAUACUUAUUUUCAUAACUCUAAAAGGUACCAUAAGGCACAUUUUUUAGUAUUGGCUUAUAAAUUCUGUGAGCCUGGAGCUUUUUUUUAGUGUGCUAGAACAGAACCUGUAACAAUGAGGCUAAAACACUUGACAAUAGCUUAAGACUCAUAAACAGCCGAGGUGGGUGGAAAAAGGAAACCUAUCAUCCUGAGAAGAUAAGCCAGCAGUGACAACAAAGAAGCAGAAAAUAGAGACAACAGCAUUGCUUUCUUAUGCAAUGACCCUGUUUAAUCUUCAUGUAUGCUUCCCUUGUUACAAUGCUGCCUGUACAGAAAUGCUGUAGCAGACCAAUGAACUGGAAAAGGUGUCUCACUUCCUUCUGCAAGAAAUGUGCUGUAGUAACUAUGUGCUAUAUAGUUACCCUUUAUUAAAAUUAUAUUAAAAUUCAAGCAUAAUGUUUUUUAGCUUAGCAUUAUUCAUAAAAUUGCAACAGCUUGAACAUCAAUACAUAAGACAAAAAUCAGUUCUAGUGUUAUGCAGGCGAUACAGGAGUUCACUAAAGUGACUACAUACCUGAAGCAGCUUUGCAUUUUGCAUUAGUUUGUCAGGUCUAAAUAAUCUGUGUAAAUUGCUGUAAAUUAAACCACAGCACUUAGGGAAAAGAUCAGACAGUAAUUCAAGGGACAGAAAAUUCCACUACGUGAUUUAUCAGCCAUCUGGUGCAGUUCAAACAGCACUCAAUCAGGAGAGGUUAGAAUCUUCUGAUUAGUUACCACAGCAACAGGUCUGCUGAGUACACGUAAAAAGUUAUGCAUGUGUCAACAUCAGCAACCUUUUUUCCCCUCCCAUACACAGUACACUGGGCGCUGUGAGCAGUGGCACACUUUAAGGAGCUCACCUCAAUGUUAAAUAGUUUUCCUUAUUCAUGGAAGUGGUAGAUAUCUGCAGGUGGGAAGGGACACCUGAUAACAUACUGAAAAACUUUCAAAACAAAGAAGUCCUUUUCAUUCCUGCACUUCCAAAGGACAGGAAAAUACAUAUUUUUUUUUUAAAUGUCUACAACUGAGUAUCUCAGUCGUAAAAGAUCUCACAUUUACAUAAAUGUCCUUGUCCACAACAUACAACUGGAAAACAGUAGUUCAUAGAUGGGGAAAAUAACAAAGCUCAAAUUAUAUUGUACAUUUCAUGCCAUUUGCAUGUUAUUCCUUAUGUAUGUAUUUUAAUAAAGAGAUGUCUACAAUAAAUUACACAGGAGUUUUUAAACUUCCUUAUAUUAGAUGUGGAUGCCAGAAAAGAAAAACUGGAUAGUACAGACAGCUAUUCCCCUGUCUAUUUCAUCUGUGAUUUCCCCCCAGCACAAGAGCCCCAAGCCUGCUCUUGGCUUUACCCUCAGGCAGUGUUGUGACAACACAAACCUGACACUGACAGUCCUGUGCUGCCCUCCCGCAGCUUCCUGCUCAAGAAACAAGGUGUGAAAGCUCAAAGCCACCAGAGGUCUGGCAGAGCAUAUUAAUUGGUGCUCCAGAGCCCACCUCACCAGCCCGCCUUCACACAGCUCCACCACUGAUGG